GAUGAACGCUGGCGGCGUGCCUAAUACAUGCAAGUCGAGCGAACGGACGAGAAGCUUGCUUCUCUGAUGUUAGCGGCGGACGGGUGAGUAACACGUGGAUAACCUACCUAUAAGACUGGGAUAACUUCGGGAAACCGGAGCUAAUACUGGAUAAUAUUUUGAACCGCAUGGUUCAAAAGUGAAAGACGGUCUUGCUGUCACUUAUAGAUGGAUCCGUGCUGCAUUAGCUAGUUGGUAAGGUAACGGCUUACCAAGGCAACGAUGCAUAGCCGACCUAAGAGGGGGAUCGGCCACACUGGAACUGAGACACGGUCCAUACUCCUACGGGAGGCAGCAGUAGGGAAUCGUCCGCAAUGGGCGAAAGCCUGACGGAGCAACGCCGCGUGAGUGAUGAAGGUCUUCGGAUCGUAAAACUCUGUUAUUAGGUAAGAACAUAUGUGUAAGUAACUGUGCACAUCUUGACGGUACCUAAACAGAAAGCCACGGCUAACUACGUG
rnacentral:rRNA from 1 species